UGCAGAAUGCGGGAAUCAAACCCGGGUCGUAGCGGUUGAAAACCAACUGUUUAGGCCAGCUUUCAACCGACCCCCC